rnacentral:lncRNA from 1 species
GAAAACAUGGAAGAGCUCGGCCUCUUCCCCACCUAUAAAAGGUAGCGGAAGCUCUGAGAACACUGCAAAUAACGGUCCGCCCAUCGGACCAGCGUUAACAAAGACUUGGGCCACCGCUCAAUCUUAAACAUUAACACUAUGUACUAGGUAUAGAAAUCAAAAGAGACAGGGCACAUAGACUACUGAAAAGAUUUGGUAAGGAAAAGUGUACAGCUGGAGAAGUUCUCAUGUCUAAAGGUGAUAAACUAACCAAGAAGCAGAGCCCUAAGAAUAAUGUUGAAAAAGAAAACAUGGAGUCAAGCCUUAUGCAAGACAUAUUGGAAGUCUUAUGCAUGCACAAGUCUGCACUAGGCUAGACUUGUCUUUUGCUGUUGGAAUAUUGUCAAGGUUCCAAUCUAAUCUAGGCCACGAACAUUAGGUGGUUGGAAAGAAAGUGUUGAGAAACCUGUAGAGAACUAAAAAUCAUAUGCUUGUGUACAGACAAGUAAAAGAUCUAAAACUUGUUGGGUUUUCAAAUUCUGAUU